GUUUCUCUGGGAUGCGCGAUACGGACCUUAUCGGGGUGACCAACAUUUUUUGUGCAAAGCAUCCGGCCAGUGAUCAUGGUGAGCCUGCCCAUCAUCGAGUGGGACGCCUGAAGUGAUCCUCCGGUGAAAUUCCGCGAAUUUUUCAAGGUCACGACGACAAGCUGGCGAUCGGCAUUCCGGAGGCGAA
rnacentral:other from 1 species